rnacentral:rRNA from 1 species
UACGUAGGGUCCGAGCGUUGUCCGGAAUUAUUGGGCGUAAAGGGCUCGUAGGCGGCCAACUAAGUCAGACGUGAAAUCCCUCGGCUUAACCGGGGAACUGCAUCUGAUACUGGAUGGCUUGAGUUCGGGAGAGGGAUGCGGAAUUCCAGGUGUAGCGGUGAAAUGCGUAGAUAUCUGGAGGAACACCGGUGGCGAAGGCGGCAUCCUGGACCGACACUGACGCUGAGGAGCGAAAGCCAGGGGAGCAAACGGG